ACCGAAAGCGGCGGGCUGGGCUGGUGUGGAGCGGAGAGCCGGGCUAGGGACGGGCACAGGGACACCGAAAGCGGCUUUUCCUGAUGCUUCCAGGUCCAGUCUUAAGUGCACCAUCCAGUUGAGCUGUGUUGGUUUGUUACUGAUCAAUGUAGUGCUUGUCCUGCCCGCAGGCUCUGGGCUUUUCACUGCCCUGUGGCCUUGGUUCGUGUGUUGGAAGUGUUUGCUGAGACACAGAGUGCUGGUGUUGGGAAGCAGCAGCUCCGUGACUUGGGGCUGCUGCUGCUUUAGGAGUUUCAUCUUUGUGCCUUUUUUUUGUCAAUUCGGUGUGCCCCAGUGAGACAAGGGCUGCAGUGGGUGUUCUGCAGAGCUCCAGCACAAUAUUGCCACGCAGCAAAAGCAGAGAAAUAAUAACAGCCACAACUGGGCACUGUUCUCACUGGAUGCUCAGUAAAAAAGAGACUCCUUGAAAUAAAGGGCUCAAAGGAAAGUGUUUCCCUUUGGAUGUGUUUCCUUUUGGAUGUGUGAAAUGCAGGAUUGCCGAGUGACAGUCUGCAGAAAUUCAGUCAUUCUUUGUUUGUGGGAACUGCCCUGGAGAAGGAAGUGAGUGCAAAAGCUCCACAAGCCCUACAAAAGCAGAUCCAGGCAGGCUGCAGAGCAGGGAUUGCUGGAUGCAGAGUGGGAAUUCUUUGUUCUUCUGGUGCAUUGAAGCAGUUGCCAUUAGGAUUUUAUUUGGUGAUGCAGUCUCCUGAAUUUCAUCUUGUCGGAGUGCCCUUUGUGGGGAGGGGGCAUCACUUCUGGAAGAAUUCUCAAGUAUCUUGGUUUAGGUAAAAUACAGUAACUAAAGUACUUUUUAUAAUUUUUAUGGGAAAAGUAGUGCGUAGACUUCCUUUGGAAUAAACUGUACUUCUUUAAAUGUUUGCAAAUCCCUGUGUUUUGUGUGUGUGUCUAUGAGCACUCCUGUGUUUUACAGAACACGCUGCAGACUGUAAAUAAAACUACCAGAAAGGUGUUGAAGUCUUGUGCACUGAAUGUACCAUUUAAUGGGAAAGUGAAUAAAUGAUUAACCAGCAGUUGCUAAGUGGAUGCUUCCUGCAAAUAUCUGAAAUCUUUGUGGUGUUUGUGUGCAGGUUUCAGCUGGAGUUGCCCUGGCAUUGCCUCCCAGAGGGGCAGGAUUGCUCCCCAGGAAGUUCUCCAGCCAGAAGUCCCUCUGGAUCCGGAUUAUUUUUUUUUUAAAAGUUUAGUUUGUCUUGGCUUUUUCUUUUUUUUUUUCCUGCCCUUUCUGGUUUGUCUCUCCAUGUUCUUAUUUUACAGAGGAACCCCUCCCCAGCCUGGCCAGAGCCGCAGCCUCCUUCAUGUGCCGCUGCCUCACUCGCUGCUGCCGUGCUGGCUCAGGAAUGUGCUCAAAGCCCGGCUAAGCAGGAAUUGUUCCGAGCCUGCUCUGUUUAAUCGCUGCCGCCGCGAGCAAAGCUGCCCCGCUCCUUGAGGGGAGCGCUCGCUGCAGCCCGGCAGGAAAAGAGCCCAGGAAAAGCCGUGCUCUCUGCAGGAGAAGCGCUGGGAGCAGAGGGGAGAGCGGGAAAAGGGAACGAGAGCAGCUGGGCGGGCGGGACGGCAUCAGCGCUGAUUCCUCCGUGGGCAGGGCCGCAUCACAAAUAGUCCCUCGGGCGGAUCCCUCCGCGGGCGGGGUCGCAUCACCGCUGAUUCCUCCGCGGGCAGGACCGCAUCACAAAUAGUCCCUCGCGGAUCACUCCGCGGCCAGGACCGCAGCACCCUGCGCGGGUGCCUCCGGCGGAUCCCUCUGUUAUAAAUGGUGCUGGAAUUGCCUGUCUGGACGUAUGCUGAGCUCUCGCUGCUGUGGACUGUGCAGCCUUAAUUGCUGCAGGUUCCUGUUCUUCUCACCAGCUCAAAGUACACGUGGGGUUUUUUUGCCCUUCUAUAUAGAGCUGUUGAGUUUGGGUGAUUUUCCUGUAUUGAGGAUAUUGAAGGUCGAGAAGGAAGAUUUGUCUCUUUUUGUGCUUUUCUGUUGUUUUUAGCACCUGCUCAGCAUCUGAACGUGGUUGGAAUAUUGGAAACAUAAAAGGUUUUGGAUUCAGUGCUUA